GACAUGGCUUCAGGGUCCUUUUGUCAUGGGUUAGAACAACAACUUGGGAUCAAGAAAAAAGCAGUUAUACUUUAUUGUGCAAAAUUAUGGACUUUGUUAAUCUCAGCUGCUCAGAAGAAACCAAAAGCUUAUCAGGAACACAGUGCGUGAAGCAGACAGGCUCGACAUGCAAAAUGGGGAUGAUCAAACUAUCUGUGAAAAAUUAU